AUAUCAAUAAGCGGAGGAAAAGAAACCAACAGGGAUUGCCCCAGUAACGGCGAGUGAAGCGGCAACAGCUCAAAUUUGAAAUCUGGCUCUCGGGCCCGAGUUGUAAUUUGUAGAGGAUACUUUUGAUGCGGUGCCUUCCGAGUUCCCUGGAACGGGACGCCAUAGAGGGUGAGAGCCCCGUCUGGUUGGAUGCCAAAUCUCUGUAAAGUUCCUUCAACGAGUCGAGUAGUUUGGGAAUGCUGCUCUAAAUGGGAGGUAUAUGUCUUCUAAAGCUAAAUACCGGCCAGAGACCGAUAGCGCACAAGUAGAGUGACCGAAAGAUGAAAAGCACUUUGAAAAGAGAGUUAAAAAGUACGUGAAAUUGUUGAAAGGGAAGCGUUUAUGACCAGACUUGGGCUUGGUUAAUCAUCUGGGGUUCUCCCCAGUGCACUUUUCCAGUCCAGGCCAGCAUCAGUUUUCCCCGGGGGAUAAAGGCGGCGGGAAUGUGGCUCUCUUCGGGGAGUGUUAUAGCCCACCGUGUAAUACCCUGGGGGGGACUGAGGUUCGCGCAUCUGCAAGGAUGCUGGCGUAAUGGUCAUCAACG
rnacentral:rRNA from 1 species